GACGAACGCUGGCGGCGUGCUUAACACAUGCAAGUCGAACGGUGAACGAGGGAGCUUGCUCCCUCCGGAUCAGUGGCGAACGGGUGAGUAACACGUGAGCAAUCUGCCCCGAACUCUGGGAUAAGCGUUGGAAACGACGUCUAAUACCGGAUACGACGCGGGAGGGCAUCCUCUCCGCGUGGAAAGAACUUCGGUUCGGGAUGAGCUCGCGGCCUAUCAGCUUGUUGGUGAGGUAACGGCUCGCCAAGGCGACGACGGGUAGCCGGCCUGAGAGGGUGACCGGCCACACUGGGACUGAGACACGGCCCAGACUCCUACGGGAGGCAGCAGUGGGGAAUAUUGCACAAUGGGCGCAAGCCUGAUGCAGCAACGCCGCGUGAGGGACGACGGCCUUCGGGUUGUAAACCUCUUUUAGCAGGGAAGAAGCGAAAGUGACGGUACCUGCAGAAAAAGCACCGGCUAACUACGUG
rnacentral:rRNA from 1 species